CCUACGGGUGGCUGCAGUGGGGGAUAUUGCACAAUGGGGGAAACCCUGAUGCAGCGACGCCGCGUGCGCGAUGAAGUGCUUCGGAAUGUAAAGCUCUGUCAGCAGGGAAGAAAAUGACGGUACCUGACUAAGAAGCCCCGGCUAACUACGUGCCAGCAGCCGCGGUAAUACGUAGGGGGCAAGCGUUAUCCGGAUUUAAUGGGUGUAAAGGGAGCGUAGACGGCAGUGCAAGUCUGGAGUGAAAGGCAAGGGCUCAACCCUUGGACUGCUUUGGAAACUAGGCAGCUGGAGUGUCGGAGAGGCAAGAGGAAUUCCUAGUGAAGCGGUGAAAUGCGUAGAUAUAAGGAGGAACACCAGUGGCGAAGGCGGCUUGCUGG
rnacentral:rRNA from 1 species